UGUGGUCUCUUGGGAGAUUAUGAUGAAUUGGCUAGAUUGAUUCCUCUUCUUGUUUGUGUUUUUGUAAAUACAUGGUGUACCUUGUUUCUUAGAGUUAUGUCCAAUAUUGAGAGAAAAGAAAAGAGACAAGAUGAAAAAAAGAAAGAAAAAAAAAUACAAAAAAAAUGAGAAAAAUUAAAAAAAAAAAUUGUGUGAAUGAUGGAGUCAAGAAGAGGAUUGAAUUAGAGGGUUUGGGUGCUAUUUGACUCUGUUUUUACUUGUUCCCUAUUGCUCCUCUAUUCCUUUCGAUUUGUAGCUUCUCAUCCAUAUUAUAUCCCCCCUUAUCCUUGGCCCCAUUACAUCCAUAAAAGACCUUUUGAUUUGAACAUGCAUAUGUUUUAAGUGUUGAUAUUAGAGGCUUGCCAAGUCUGUUUGUUGUUUGCUUUCUUGAGUGCACUGAGUUG
rnacentral:lncRNA from 1 species